GAUGAACGCUAGCGGCAAGCUUAAUACAUGCAAGUCGAGGGGCAGCAUGACUGUAGCAAUACAGUUGAUGGCGACCGGCAAACGGGUGCGGAACACGUACAGAACCUUCCUUCGAGCGGGGAAUAGCCCAGAGAAAUUUGGAUUAAUACCCCAUAGUAUUACGGAGUGGCAUCACUUUGUAAUUAAAGAUUUAUCACUUGAAGAUGGCUGUGCGGCUGAUUAGAUAGUUGGCAGGGUAACGGCCUACCAAGUCUACGAUCAGUAACUGGUGUGAGAGCACGACCAGUCACACGGGCACUGAGACACGGGCCCGACUCCUACGGGAGGCAGCAGUAAGGAAUAUUGGUCAAUGGAUGAAAGUCUGAACCAGCUAUGCCGCGUGGAGGAUGAAGGCCCUCUGGGUUGUAAACUUCUUUUAUAUGGGACGAAAAAGGGCCUUUCUAGGCCAACUGACGGUACCAUGUGAAUAAGCACCGGCUAACUCCGUGCCAGCAGCCGCCGUAAUAC
rnacentral:rRNA from 1 species